CCUACGGGAGGCAGCAGUAGGGAAUAUUGCACAAUGGGGGAAACCCUGAUGCAGCAACGCCGCGUGGAGGAUGAAGGUUUUCGGAUUGUAAACUCCUUUUGGUAGAGAGGAUAAUGACGGUAUCUAACGAAUAAGCACUGGCGAACACCUUGCAAGCAGCCGCGGUAAGACGGAGGGUGCAAGCGUUAGUCGGAAUCGCGGGGCGUAGAGAGCACGUGGGCGGGAUAGCAAGUCAGAUGUGAAAGCCUCUGGCUUAACCAUAGAACUGCAUUUGAAACUGUUAUUCUAGAGUAUGGGAGAGGUAGGUGGAAUUCCUGGUGGAGGGGUAAAAUCCGUAGAGAUCUAGAGGAAUACUCAUUGCGAAGGCGGCCUGCUAGAACAUAACUGACGCUGAUGCGCGAAAGCGUGGGGAGCAAACAGGAUUAGAUACCCCAGUAGUC
rnacentral:rRNA from 1 species